CUGCGGGUCGGCGAGGUGGAUCGCCUCGGCGAUGUCGCCGACGCUCGCCGUGGCGUCGGCGGUGAUCUGGAGGUUCGACGCCGAUCCCCCGGG
rnacentral:tRNA from 1 species